GAAUCCUUUGCGGGUCCGGCCUCCGAUCCCUGUGUGGCUGUUUGGCGGGUGGGCGCUGUGUUCCUCUCUCGUAAAGCCGUGCGGUCUGUGGGCCGCCAUUCAGAAACUGGAUGGACAGCUUCGGCGGUGGGAAGGGAAGGGACAUGCUGCAGGCCACCCUCCGGCUAGAAGGAGGGAGUACUUGAGGAACAAGGUCUGCGAAAAUUGGCUGUGCUCUGUUCUAAAACUUGGAAUGGCCUCAGUACCUGGGGAAUGUGUUUAAAAUGCAGACUUAAAUGUCCGUUUCUCCAUUCUAAUUUCAGUAGGUAUGAAUCUGCGUUUUUACUCCUCACAAGCCUUCCAAGUGAUUCUGAGGCAGGUGCUGUGGCUGUACUUGGAUUAUCACAGGGUUAGAUUAUCAGGCUAUUUAUGAUUUAGCUGUAUCUAAACCACCUUUCCCUCUCUUUCCUCCUUUGAACUGUUUGAAACGGAUUUGUUCCCUUCUGUCUCUUAUUUUUCAGUGCUGUAAGCUGUUAACACACAUGAGACUGUCUUCACUACCAAACCAAGUCUCCUAAAGCUCACUUGAAUGUCUGCUUAUUCGUGUCUCUUACUAGGUUCAAUUUCUUGGAGGCCGUGAUUAUAUCUAUUUAACGCUUUUCCUUGUACCUAAUAAAAUGUCUGGUGC
rnacentral:lncRNA from 1 species